rnacentral:lncRNA from 1 species
UAAACUGUUGUAUUAUUAUUACUUACAAAUACGAGUAUUUGCUGGAGUUAGACAAAUUAGCUAUUCUCAUAGCCAUUUCUUUUGUGAAAGGAAAGCUCUACUAGAUAUUAUCAUGGUGAAGGCUCCAUGAUUUCCAAGGUAAAGCACAUAACCGCAGAGUAAUUCAUACCAUGUUGAGUCAGUACCAAUGCAACCGCUAGCUAUUCUAAUAUCACUCUACGUUACAAACUAAGCAGAGUAAGUCAUACCAUGUUGUGUCAGUACCGAUGCAACUGCUAGCUAUUCUGAUCUCACUCCAAGUUACAAACUAAGUAUAGAACUGAUGAAGAGGAGAUCAUACCCUGGUGAGAUGAGCCGGGGUAGCCUGCAGGAGGAUAUCCACCUUGAGGUGGGUAGCCACCUGGCUGAGGGUACCCAUAUUGUGGUGGGUAUGCCCCAGGUGGAGGAGGAUAUGCCCCUGGAGGAGGAGGAUACGCCCCUGGGGGAGGCGGGUAUGCUCCUGGUUGCGGUGGGUAGCCCUGCGGAGGGUAUCCCUGGUGGGGGUACCCAUGACCACCGGCAACGCCGUGCAUCAUGUUCGAGAAGAGCCCCUUGUCGCUCUCGUCAUGCUUGUCUUUCCCUCCUCCCAUUGACCCCGCAAGUUACCUGAAGAAAGAAC